GAUGAACGCUGGCGGCGUGCCUAAUACAUGCAAGUCGAGCGAACAGAUAAGGAGCUUGCUCCUUUGACGUUAGCGGCGGACGGGUGAGUAACACGUGGGUAACCUACCUAUAAGACUGGGAUAACUUCGGGAAACCGGAGCUAAUACCGGAUAAUAUUUCGAACCGCAUGGUUCGAUAGUGAAAGAUGGUUUUGCUAUCACUUAUAGAUGGACCCGCGCCGUAUCAGCUAGUUGGUAAGGUAACGGCUUACCAAGGCGACGAUACGUAGCCGACCUGAGAGGGUGAUCGGCCACACUGGAACUGAGACACGGUCCAGACUCCUACGGGAGGCAGCAGUAGGGAAUCUUCCGCAAUGGGCGAAAGCCUGACGGAGCAACGCCGCGUGAGUGAUGAAGGUCUUCGGAUCGUAAAACUCUGUUAUUAGGGAAGAACAUACGUGUAAGUAACUGUGCACGUCUUGACGGUACCUAAUCAGAAAGCCACGGCUAACUACGUG
rnacentral:rRNA from 1 species